rnacentral:rRNA from 1 species
UACGUAGGGUGCAAGCGUUGUUCGGAAUCAUUGGGCGUAAAGCGCGUGUAGGGGGCUAGUUAAGUCGGGUGUGAAAUCCCUGGGCUCAACCGAGGAAGUGCACUCGAUACUGGCUGGCUAGAAGAUGGUAGAGGAAGGUGGAAUUCCAAGUGUAGAGGUGAAAUUCGUAGAUAUUUGGAGGAAUACCGGCGGCGAAGGCGGCCUUCUGGGCCAUUCUUGACACUGAGACGCGAAAGCGUGGGGAGCAAACAGG